AAGAGCAAAAUAAUAUGAAAAGUAUUUAACAAGGAAUAUAAAGAAUCAUCAAAGAAAAUGUUAUAAAACUUCUUUGAGACCACAAGAGAUGAUAGAGAUGGGGUUUCACUGUGUUAGCGAGGAUGGUCUUGAUCUCCUGACCUCGUGAUCCGCCUGCUUCUGCCUCCCAAAGUGCUGGGAUUACAGUCGUGAGCCACCGCGCCUGGCCUCCUCAUAUUAUUUUUUAUUGUGCAGUUUAUUCAAGAGAGCUUUCCAGCACCUGUGAUAAGCCUCAGCCCGCCUGCCGGAUAAUGAGCCCACAUGGAUUGAGAGAGGCCUCCUAUCCCUGCCAAACCUAUUGAUGCUACAGAGAUGUGAGGGAGCCCACCUGAGAAAAGCUGAACCUGCCCAGUACAUAAAAACCACUCAGCUCAGAACACCAACUGCUGAGGCUGCCUUGGGAAGAGGAUGAUCCUAAACAAAGCUCUGCUGCUGGGGGCCCUCGCUCUGACCACCGUGAUGAGCCCCUGUGGAGGUGAAG
rnacentral:lncRNA from 1 species